CGCAUCUGUGCAUGCAGCAUAUCAAUAACGGAGGAAAAGUAAAUGCUGUAUACCUACGCUUAGGAUGUUGACGCGCGUGUGUGCGUGAGUCUAUACAUGACUCUGCGCAUAUCAAUAAGCGGAGGAAAAGAUACCUACGCUUAGGAUGUUGACGCGCGUGUGUGCGUGAUCUAUACAUGACUCUGCGCAUAUCAAUAAGCGGAGGAAAAGUCAACUACCUACGCUUAGGAUGUUGACGAGACUGUCGAUCUCAUCUAUACAUGGCUCUGUGCAUAUCAAUAAGCGGAGGAAAAGAGGGCUAUUACCUACGCUUAGGAUGUUGACGCGCGUGUGUGCGUGAGUCUAUACAUGACUCUGUGCAUAUCAAUAAGCGGAGGAAAAGAAACUAACAAGGAUUCCCUUAGUAACGGCGAGUGAAGCGGGAAGAGCUCAAAUUUGAAAUCUUCAAGGUUUUACCUUGACGAAUUGUAGUUUAAAGAAGUGUUUUCUGUUGAAGUUUUGGUAAAAGUUCUUUGGAAUAGGACAUCAUAGAGGGUGAGAAUCCCGUAUUAGACCAUUAUUUUCAGCUGUGUGAUACACUUUCAAAGAGUCGGAUUGUUUGGGAAUGCAGUCCAAAAUGGGUGGUAAAUUUCAUCUAAAGCUAAAUAUUGGCGAGAGACCGAUAGCGAACAAGUACCGUGAGGGAAAGAUGAAAAGAACUUUGAAAAGAGAGUUAAACAGUACGUGAAAUUGUCAAAAGGGAAGCGUUUGACACCAGUGUUGUUUUCUCGAAAAUCAAUUAAAAAGAAUUUAGAUUUUGUUGUGUAUUGACCUUAACAGCUUGCAUUUCAAUUUUCUUGCUUUUUUUAAUGCACUUUUCGUUUAACAAGUCAACAUCAGUUUCUUUUGUUGUAAAAAGGUCAUUGGAAGGUGGCUUUCUUUUCGGAGAAAGUGUUUAUAGCCUUUGACUCCUGCAAUCGGAGAGACUGAGGUCUGCAGCGUAGAUCCUUCGGGGUUAGAUACAUUUGUGCUAAGUUAUAGCUUUUUAUAGACAACUUGUUGACUAUGAUUAGUCUUGUAGCUUACUCGCUUAUGCUAUUUUACCUACGCUUAGGAUGUUGACGCGCGUGUGUGCGUG
rnacentral:rRNA from 1 species